UACGAAGGGGGCUAGCGUUGUUCGGAAUCACUGGGCGUAAAGCGCACGUAGGCGGUUCUUUAAGUCAGGGGUGAAAUCCCGGGGCUCAACCUCGGAACUGCCUUUGAUACUGGGGAUCUCGAGUCCGGGAGAGGUGAGUGGAAUUGCGAGUGUAGAGGUGAAAUUCGUAGAUAUCGGAAGGAACACCUGUGGCGAAAGCGGCUCACUGGACCAUUACUGACGCUGAUGCACGAAAGCUAGGGGAGCAAACAGG
rnacentral:rRNA from 1 species